rnacentral:lncRNA from 1 species
GGUAUAAAAAUCUAUAUAUCAUAACAUUAAUUUUCAUAAUACUAUCCUACAGGUAGAAUUAGAUAUUAAGUUUUGUGGUUAAAAAUAUGUAGUUCUAAUACCUAAUUAAAGUCGGUAAGGUAUUAGUUAGGGUCGUGUCAAAGAUUGUUCUGUCCAUUCAUGACAAGGAUGGAGAUCUCUCCCUUCAUUUUCACAUGGCAGCCCUCUUAUAUUUUGAUUAGAUUAAUAACAAACUCCUUAAAAUUUUAGUUUACGGUCCAACUAGUUAGACCAUCGGCUGAUCUAGGUUCUAAUAAUAAUAAUAAGUUUUUUUCUUAAAACUACCCAAGAACAUAGUGGUCAAAUAUUUGCUUAUAUAUUGGAAAAAAAUUCAAUGAUUCAAAGGCAUACAUUUAUCAUUUUUUUAUAUUUAUAAUAAAAAACAUAGAUACGCUAGUCAGGAAAAGAAAAAAUAAAACAGUAGGGAACAGGCGGACAGAAUGAAAAAGAGAAAAAAGGGACACAAAUGCUCAGAAAAUCUGAUAAGAAAAAACGGACACUCUACUGAAAAACUGAUAGAAGGAAAAAAAAACAAACAUGAUGACUAGACUCGGAACGAAAAGAAAACAAAAUAGGCGUGAUUACGGAUGUCGAAACAAAAAAUUUAGAUGCAGAAAUUUUGACUAUAAUAUAUAAAUAAAUGAUUUUAGUUAAAGGCAUCAUUUUUUUAAACAUGAUUGUAUAAAAACCAUCUGUAGAAAAUGUUUUAGAGAAAUUGAUUUAUGCUAAUUGCCCAAGAAAAUAUCCUCUAUUUUACUUCCAGGGGGUGGUCAAUGUAACCACUGACCCUAGAUAUGCUAUAUCUGCUACCGACCCACUGAGAAUAGAGGUAUUUGAGGGAUGAUUAGAAACACCAAUCACAGAUACAAAUCGAUUUUCAGCCACAAUUGGUAAUGUGAUUCGUCUCUAAAAAUAUGCGUCAUACAAAUAUUAACAAAAAUUUAUAAUAAAGUCAGACGAAUAUAAACUUCAUAUGAAAGCUGUAGAGCUCAAUUAGAUUUAAAACUUUAUAUGUGGUGACUUUUUGUUACAAAUUGUUCAGUGGCCCAAAUAUACUUUUUAGUACUAUGUGAUAUCUUGAAAUAUAUUUUCUUCAAUUUUUCAAACAACCCAUGAUAUGCCUACUAAGUCGUGCUUGAAGAGAUAUAUAAAACUUUGUACCUAAAACUUCCUUAUUUGAAGUAGUUUAGGGGAUUAUAAGAUUUACAAAACUUAAUAUAAAGGUAGAAUCGUACAUUGGGUCCUAAAAUAUGUCCUUUCAAACAUAAUUUCACAUACCAAGGAAUGCUUAAUUCAAAUACUUAUUCUCUGUUUUUCUAAUAUUUAAUUGGUUCUUGAUUUCUCGUUACACUUUACAUUAAGGUCUGCUUGGAACUGCCCC